CCUACGGGUGGCAGCAGUGGGGAAUAUUGCACAAUGGUGGAAACCCUGAUGCAGCGACGCCGCGUGAGUGAAGAAGUAUUUCAGUAUGUAAAGCUCUUUCAGCAAGAGCGAGACAAGACGGUACCUUACUAAGAAGCCUCGGCUAACUACGUGCCAGCAGCCGCGGUACUACGGAGGGGGCAAGCGUUAUCCGGAAUCACUGGGUGUAAAGGGAGCGUAGACGGCUGUGCAAGCCUGAAGUGAAAGGCGGGGGCCCAACCCCUGGACUGCUUGGGGAACUGGACGGCUGGAGUGCAGGAGAGGUAAGUGGAAUGCCUAGUGUAGCGGUGAAAUGCGUAGAUAUUAGGAGGAACACCAGUGGCGAAGGCGGCUUACUGGACUGUAACUGACGUUGAGGCUCGAAAGCAUGGGGAGCAAACAGGAUUAGAUACCCCAGUAGUC
rnacentral:rRNA from 1 species